CCUAAGCCUGAGAAAACAGGGCCUCUGGCUUCUUGGCAGGGAGAGGUUCCAGAGAGUGCAGGGGAGGCCCUGCCUCCUUGGGUGGGGUGACCUGGGCCUCCUGGGACCUCAGUUCCCUGCCUGUGAAAAAGACGGACGGAGGUAGAGAAUCCCAGGGUGCCUUUCCAGGACUAAAGACGGUGCCUUCUUUAUGUAAAUUCCAUCCUUCGCAAGUUCACUGUGGAGCGCUCUCCCGGGGCCCAGUCUCUAGGCGCAGAACACCCAGCCAGGUGGUAGCUCUCCUUUGCAAAUUGUACUUUUUAAUGUGUCGUUGAGUUUGCUAAAGCAGGUUGCCCUGUGAGUAGAGUACAAGGCUGGUCGUCAGGCGGGGAGAGUGACAAUGUUUUGAAAUUGUUGAAUUUCCUGAGCAUGCACCAGGCUCAGUGUCUUGGAGCAGUGCGGGAAGGCUGGUGUUGCGGCGGCCUGAAGAAGCACAGCUGCAGAUGCUAACGCAGGCCUGGUGAGCAGGAAGCCGGGGCGUGGCUCAGGCGGAGGGGAGAGGCCGGGGCAGGUCUGGCCCGGCCAUGGGGGCCGGGCUCUGAGCUGGAGAGCAAGGUGUGGUUUCAGAGGGAGCUGGGGACGGAAGCCUGAAUGAAGUGGACUCAGCAGAGAUGGGAGGUGAGGCCGUGCCCUGCUGAGGUGGGAGGUGAGGCCGUGCCCUGCUAAGGUAGGAGGUGAGGCCGUGCCCUGCAGAGAUGGGAGGCGAGGCCGUGCCCUGCUGAGAUGGGAGGUGAGGCCGUGCCCUGCAGAGAUGGGAGGUGAGGCCGUGCCCUGCUGAGAUGGGAGGUGAGGCCGUGCCCUGCUGAGAUGGGAGGUGAGGCCGUGCCCUGCUGAGGUGGGAGGUGAGGCCGUGCCCUGCUGAGGUGGGAGGUGAGGCCGUGCCCUGCCGAGGGCUUCGUUAUACAGGGAGGAUAACUGGAGGGAAUGUGAGGUCAGUGGAGGGUGUUAGUAUUUUACAUGGGAAAUAAUAGAUACUGAAAAGGGAAGAAAUUAUAUGCAAGAGAGAGGGAUUAAUUAUAGAAACCAAGACCUUGAGUCAGUGACAGGGUAGGGGAACCAGGGCAGCAGCAGAGGGUCGCUGGGCAGCGGGGGUCGCUCAUCAGCUGGAGGGGUCCAUGGAGCGACACCUGCCCCCACCUCACAGCUGGAGGGGUCCAUGGAGCCGACACCUGCCCCCACCUCACAGCUGGAGGGGUCCAUGGAGCCGACACCUGCCCCCACCUCACAGCUGGAGGGGUCCAUGGAGCCGACACCUGCCCCCCGCCUCACAGCUGGAGGGGACCAUGGGGCGACACCUGCCCCCACCUCACAGCUGGAGGGGACCAUGGGGCGACACCUGCCCCCACCUCACAGCUGGAGGGGACCGUGAAGCCAACACCUGCCCCCCGCCUCACAGCUGGAGGGGACCAUGGAGCUGACACCUGCCCCCACCUCACAGCUGGAGGGGACCACAGGGUGGACACCCCCCCACCUCAUAGGCCCGUUGGACGAUCACGUGUGGAAUAAUGCAAUGUGUUUGGGUUCGUGCCUGGCACAUCAAGGCCUAUCUGACUACUUUUCCCUAGACCAAAACAACAAAAAACUACACUCCCAUGACAUCUCUCCAAACGGGAUUCUCUGUAAGUAGAAAAAGAUGACUGAGUUUGAAAAUACCAGUCGCUCCCCGGUUCUCAUUAUCAUAUUGUCAGAAGCAUCCUGUGACACCCACAAAGUUUAGCACGUAAUCCCAUGCACGGCAAGCCCAAAGCUGGCGGGCUGGGGCGGCCCGUGGUAGAGAAAGCUGUCACCUUUGGGAUUCCGCAGACAGCAGCCUUGGUGCCACUGGGGUAGAAGCAUCCGCGUCUCCGGCAUUCGGUGUCAGCAUCUACAGUUAGACCUUCCCAUCCUUAUGGGCUGGGCCCCUCUGCUGUCCUCGAGCUGCAUCCAACACCGGGGAAAUGAGUCCUGACGACCGAGGGACGUCACCAAGAGUGUCACCACCCACACCGAGCAGCCACAGGCUCCAUGUCCAGCCCCUCCUUCCCCCGGGAGGGUGAGCCCAGGAGGUGAGAGCAGAGAUCGGGGCCUGGAGGUGCGGCCUGGGAAGCCUGUUGUGGGUGCCGCCUCCCUGAGCCACAACCUGUCCUGGGGAUCGGUGGACGCUCCGUGGCUCUGCAGAGCUGCUUGUACCACCCUUGCUGGAGGAGGAGGUUCUCGCAGUUUGCUUCCGUUUGUGGAUGAGAGACAGGUGGGUUGGUUGGUUCUUCCCAUCAUGGCAUCACAGCCAUUCCACGGGAGGUGAUGGCAGCUGAUUGUUCUGAGUCUCUGCUAAGUGGAAUCACCCCAAGACCUCGAGUGCAUGGACCCACUGGGCUCUGGGCCCCGCAGAGACGUGCCCAGGCCUGGAUGUGCUGACUGCUGGGCUGUCCCACACAGCUGGAGCCAGGAGCCCACAGUGGGCAGCAGGACCUUGACUUCAGGCGGGCAGAGCCGGGCAUCUCCUGUCUCCUCCCUGCCCUGGCUGGGAUAGGUUUUUAGGAGUAACUUUGCUAGAGGGAAGAUUCUGAGACAUCUGCGAUCCUGAGCUGCUCCGGUGGGCACCUGCCAGAAGACAGGAGCCCAGGCUGCAGGAGUCGCUGGUGGAGGAGGGGUGAGGCGGCGCCCCUGCCUCUGUGGUUCUGCAUGGGGCAGGGCCCCUGCUGCUCCGGGCGGGGAAAGAAGGUGGGAUUCUUAGACAUGGGAAACACACAGCAACAUCUGGCCCUUCCACAAAGAAGAUGUGCCAUGUUCACCUUGAUAUUUGGGUUUUUGAAGAAAACCUGUAAAAGCUGUAAAACCCGAACCAUGAGGACACCCCAGGGGCACACAGUUCUGGAGGCUGAAAAUCAAGAUCAGGAUGCUGGCGUCUGACAAGGGCUUUCUUGCUGCAUCCUCACGUGGCGGAAAGUGGAAGGGCAAGAGAGAGCGAACCCAUCCUGAAAACCCCAGAUUACAGAGGCACUAAUCCAUUUAUGUGGGUGGAGCUCCCAUGACCCAAACACCUCCAAAGGCCCCACCUCCUGACAAUGUUGCACUGGGGAUUACAUUUCCAACACAUGAAUCUGGGGAGACAGAUUCAGACCACAGCAGAUGUCAAGGCUGGUUCAAAGGACAAUGUGAAGAACAAAGGCAUGCUGAAAUGAAUUUGAUAAUAGAUGCAAACUUGGGUAACAUCCUACAGGACAAUAAGGUGUAAGUAAUACUUGGGAUCAUCUUUCCUUAGACAUGAGCAUCAGUUGCAUCUACAGUGAACAACACUGAUUACAUUGCCAUAGAGGAAGCUUUGUGUUGCUCUCAGAUAAGAAGCAUGCACACUGCUGUAUUCUCUACAUGAACUUCUAUUCUACAGUUGUAAAAUAGUUCAGUCAAUAGAAAGCCAACCACAGAGACACACCUAGUGGUUUGUUUUUGCCUAUUUUUAAGUUUUUAAUAUUUUUUAUAACAGAUAUAACAUUGAAUCCAUAGUGAAGUUAAUCACUUUUUAAUUACCCAUUUUUCUAAUAAUUAAAUCAACAAGGGAGUCUCCUUUGGGUACCAAUCAAUCUCUAACCUUUCUAAACUUCUUGUUUGAAAAAGAGAAAGGCAGAAGUGGGCCUCAAGCAUGACGCCUUCAACUGACUGUACAAGCUAGCUGCAGUUUGAUGAUACUGUUGAAUUUUCUUUAUUAUAUUGUUACCUUUUAUUAAUGGCAAUGGAUAUAUUAGUUUUCCAUUUUUGGUUGAGAUAUGAGGCUUCCUUUAAAACAUAUUUAAGUAAAAAAGAAAAGUGAGUCAAUGUGUUUAAUUAAACAGCCAAAAGUAUUCAAAUGAUGAAUGAUAUAGAUGGGAUGAAUAGAAAGUCAUAGAAAAUUUAUGGUGAUCACUGAAGGUUGAGAAAAACCCAAUCUGAUGAGCACUCUGCUCCAUGUCAGGUCCUGCCUGUUGUGCUUGUCUCCCAGACUGUCUUUUAACUCUCACCUUCUUACAAAUAGUUGAAUCUUAAUAGCUAUUAUUACCUUACAUUUAACAAAAUAGGCAUAUGCAUAUUUUUUCAUUUUCUCCCUCUCCACUAAGGAAAACUUCAGAGAGAGAAAGAAUUUCUCCAGGGUCAAGCAUCCAGCUGAGCAUUCCAGUAGAGAAUGGCAGUGCUGGAAUCCCCCGCUGUUGUCCGGCUUCAAGACUCUUUUGCACUGUCUCCCAGCCCUGCUCCCAUGGGAGUUGUGGAGAAUUCCCAGGGUGAAGAAAGAACCUGGGGAUAGAGCCUCCUUUUUUCAUUUUUUCUUUCUUUUUUUUUUUUUUUUUGCGAUGGUCUUGCUCUGUCACCCAGGCUUGGAGUGCAGUGGUGUGAUCUUGGCUCACUGCAGCCUCAAUCUCCCAGGUUCAAGUGAUCCUUCCUCCUCAGUCUCCAGAGUAGCUGGGACUACAGGUAUGCACCACCAUGCCUGGCUAAUUUUUGUGUUUUUAGUAGAGAUGGGCUUUCAUCAUGUUGGCCAGACUGGUCUCAAACUCCUGACCUCAGGUGAUCCACCUGCCUCAGCCUCCCGAAGUGCUGGGAUUAUAGGCAUGAGCCACUGUGCCCGGCCUCAUUUUUCUUUUCCUUUUUACAGAAAUGGAAAUCACAUGGUAGGUCAUAAGGAGCUGACAGGGCUGGAGUUCCAGUGAGUAUCUGCCCCGGCAGUGCGGCAGCAGACGGGAAGGGUGGGAGGUCAUCUGAGCUGGUAGGGUGAGAACAAAUAUAAAUCUCAGGGGGGAUCCACAAGGGAGCCCAUGUCUUUGGUGCCACACAAAUGCAGUAAGAGCUGUGGACACCAGGGAAUACCAGGGAGUGUUUAAAAGCCCCACAGGCAGAACACACGCAGAGAAAGCAGGAGACUAGGCACUGUGGGUUCUUGGGAAAGAGCUGAUUUUAGUUGCAAAAGCAGAGGAAACCCCAGACAUUGCAUGGCUUUAGGCUUUAGGCUUUAGCCCCACCACCCUCACAAGUCUUCUGUCUCCAGGGGGCCAUCAGUGCCUCAGUUCCACUCGGUGCAGACCCCAGGGUUCUUCCCACCCCUGCAAGCCACCCAUCAGGGUGAACUGAGAGAUCAGCAGAGUCACUUACAACGAAGGGGAAUUGUUCUGGGCAUUGGUUAGUAAACAGGAGAGCAAAAGGGGAGAAGAAAAUUGUGUACAGGCGUUGAGCAUCUCUAGCCGAAGAAGGUGAGGCAUAGAGGUGUCUUACCACCAGGAACAGAUCUGAGUCAUGCAGCACCAAAAUACGUAUUUGAGUCAUGGCAUCAAAACGUUCCUGGUGGUGAAUUCAUGUCCGUGCGGGUCUGCAGCAAUCUCAAUUCUUGCCUCCUCAGAAGAAAGAAUUCGACUGAGGGGCAUGAGGCAGAAAGAGAGAUCGGAGCCAGUUUCAGAACAGGAGUGAAAGUUUAUUAAAAGGCUUUAGAACAUGAAUGAAAGGAAGGAAAGGAUACUUGGAGAAGGACCAAGCAGGCAUCUUGAAAGGCAAGUGCUUUUUUUUUUUUUUUUCAUUUUUUAACCCCUUCCUAAUGUCACUGGAAUAAGAGGCCUGUCCCAGACCCCAAGAGCGGGUUCUUGGAUGUUGGAUGAGGAACAAUUCCAGGUGAGUGGCAGAGUAUAGUAAAGUUAAAAUCGUUUAUCAGAGACCACUCGGUUACAGAGUAGGAUGUCCUCCAAAAGCAAGAGAAGGAACGCGCACACCUUAAAUACGAUUCUUAUUUAUAUAGGUUAACAGAGCUAAGAAGAGAGGUCUUUUGUGCUUUAUUACAGAGGCUGGUGAUCAGCUUCUGACAGGCUAUUAGUAUUAUUUUCCUAUGUUACUACUGAUUUCAGCAAGGAUUUACGAAUGUACUAUUAACCUUAAAUCAAAACCUACUCUUAAACUAAGAAUGCUUUUUGUUCUUAAAAUAUUAAGAGAUUGCCAUAAAAUUCUGCGUCUUUAUUUAGUUAGCAUCAUUAACUUGUUCCCUCAACCAUAAACAUCUUGUGCCCAAGAGUGCCUACCCCCUGGGGGUGUAACCCUGCAGGCAUGGCUAUAUCCCACAUUUAUUAAAG
rnacentral:lncRNA from 1 species